rnacentral:rRNA from 1 species
UACGUAGGGUGCGAGCGUUGUCCGGAAUUAUUGGGCGUAAAGAGCUUGUAGGCGGUUUGUCGCGUCUGCUGUGAAAAUCCGGGGCUCAACCCCGGACUUGCAGUGGGUACGGGCAGGGCUAGAGUGUGGUAGGGGGAGACUGGAAUUCCUGGUGUAGGCGGUGAAAUGCGCCAGAUAUCAGGAGGAACACCGGUGGCGAAGGCGGGUCACUGGGGCAACAACUGACGCUGAGGAGCGAAAGCUGGGGGAGCAAAACAGG